AGCCCGGGCUUUUGAUACGCUU
rnacentral:siRNA from 1 species